CAUGGUUGUCGUCAGCUCGUGCCGUGAGGUGUCGGGUUAAGUCCCAUAACGAGCGCAACCCCUACCUUUAGUUGCCAUCAGGUAAUGCUGGGGACUCUAAAGGAACUGCCUACGCAAGUAGUGAGGAAGCGGGGAUGACGUCAAAUCAGCAGGCCCUUACGUCCAGGGCUACACACGUGCUACAAUGGCCGAUACAGAGGGCAGCUACCUGGUGACAGGAUGCAAAUCUCCAAAAGUCGGUCUCAGUUCGGAUCGGAGUCUGCAACCCGACUCCGUGAAGUUGGAUUCGCUAGUAAUCGCGCAAUCAGCCAUGGCGCGGUGAAUACGUUCCCGGGCCUU
rnacentral:rRNA from 1 species